GACGAACGCUGGCGGCGUGCUUAACACAUGCAAGUCGAACGGAAAGGCCCUGCUUUUGUGGGGUGCUCGAGUGGCGAACGGGUGAGUAACACGUGAGUAACCUGCCCUUGACUUUGGGAUAACUUCAGGAAACUGGGGCUAAUACAGGAUAGGAGCUACUGCUGCAUGGUGGGGGAUGGAAAGAUUCGGCGGUUGGAGAUGGACUCGCGGCUUAUCAGCUUGUUGGUGGGGUAGUGGCUUACCAAGGCUUUGACGGGUAGCCGGCCUGAGAGGGUGACCGGCCACAUUGGGACUGAGAUACGGACCAGACUCCUACGGGAGGCAGCAGUGGGGAAUAUUGCACAAUGGGCGGAAGCCUGAUGCAGCAACGCCGCGUGCGGGAUGACGGCCUUCGGGUUGUAAACCGCUUUCGCCUGUGACGAAGCGUGAGUGACGGUAAUUGGUAAAGAAGCACCGGCUAACUACGUG
rnacentral:rRNA from 1 species